UUCUUCUGAUAUCUGUAUUCUAGAUUCUUCUAGAGAUGAUGCUUUGUUAUGAUGAGAGAGCCGAGUCUAAAAGUUUUUAUAAUUUCGUUAUGGUCACUCCGUUGUGACGUCUGUUAAGGCCUGGAUCUACUUAAAUCUAGAUCUAGAGAUCUAGUUUCAAUGUCAGUUGCCAGCGUGGUUGGCUCCGAGAUAGAAAGCUCGACUUCGAAGCCAAAGGUAAUGGAUUCGACCAAACUUCAUGUCAGUUGACUUACACGCAAGUAGGACCUUGGUGUGCACACAGUAACUAAUCAGCUAGAUUCUAGAUCCCGGUGCCCUCCUUGCAGCCACAGACAAUAUUUUUUCCACAAGGGCUAGAUUCUAUGCUAUAGCAGUAUGUGUUUUAAUUUAUAGAUAGGCCUACCACACCUGCAUGUAUUUUUUUUAAAUUUCAGAUUCACAACAAAGUCAAAGUCUCGGAAGCAGCGGCAGUGAAUUUGAGCCACCACCAGAUCUAAAAUCUGAGCCUGGAACCUUACGGGAGGACCAGCCCAAUUCAGUGACAGCAGAAGGUUCAUCUUGCCGUGGGCUCAUGAACCCUUUGGUGACUGGGCCUGCACAGGGAGGGGAGGACAACGAUCCCAGCACAUCCCAGGUGGAAACCGAUGAAGCUUAGCUCGGACCUUUAGCUGCUCUUGAGUCUAUCGAGGACCCACCCCGUACUUCAAACGGAAACGAAAGUGUUGCUGAUGGUGCAAUCAGCACUGUCGAGGAAGACGAGGAGCCACCAACUCCGAUUAACCGAGACGAAAGUUUUGCUGACAGUGUAGUCAGCACUGUCGAGGAAGACGAGGAGCCACCGACUCCAGCUCCUUCAUACGGAGUCGAAAGUUUUGGUGGUAGUGAAAUCAGCACUGUUGAUUUCAACAACACAGCAGAUGACCCUCUCCCUUCAAACCGCGGUAAAAGGAAACCAGCCCCUCACACCUGGAGACGCAGUGUGGCAAAGCAUGCCCGAUUGUUUUUGUACUUUGUUUAUGACCAUGCCUAUCUUGUUUCUCUUGUUUUAGUAGAGGUUUUACAGCGCUAGCAAAUGCAUAAAG